rnacentral:rRNA from 1 species
GUGACGAGCGGCGGACGGGUGAGUAAUGUCUGGGAAACUGCCCGAUGAGGGGGAUAACUACUGGAAACGGUAGCUAAUACCGCAUAACGUCGCAAGACCAAAGUGGGGGACCUUCGGGCCUCAUGCCAUCAGAUGUGCCCAGAUGGGAUUAGCUAGUAGGUGGGGUAAUGGCUCACCUAGGCGACGAUCCCUAGCUGGUCUGAGAGGACGACCAGCCACACUGGGACUGAGACACGGCCCAG